rnacentral:misc_RNA from 1 species
GAUGAAGAACGUAGCGAAAUGCGAUACGUAAUGUGAAUUGCAGAAUUCAGUGAAUCAUCGAAUCUUUGAACGCAUAUUGCGCUCUCUGGUAUUCCGGAGAGCAUGCUUGUUUGAGUAUCAGUAAACACCUCAACUUCCAUAUCUUUUUUGAAAUGGGAGUUGGACUUGAGUGAUCCCAACGCUUUUCCUCACCGAAAAGUGGCGGGUUACUUGAAAUGCAGGUGCAGCUGGACUUUUCUCUGAGCUAUAAGCAUAUCUAUUUAGUCUGCCUAAAAAACAGAUUAUUACCUUUGCUGCAGCUAACAUAAAGGAGAUUAGUUCUUGUGCUGACUGAUGCAGGAUUCACAAAGACGGCUUCGGCCGACUUUGUAAACUCGAUCUCAAAUCAAGUAAGACUACCCGCUGAACUUAAGCAUAGCAAUAAGCGGGGGA